AUUUCUUUCAAUUGAAAAUGGAACUAUCUCAUGGGAAGAUCUGCCUGUUUAUUCAUCAGCUUAAUCACUUAUUCAUAAGUUAAAAAGUUAUUAAAUGCCUACUAGAUCUCCUAAAGUGCUAUGCUUACUUCCCAUCAUAAUAUGUAGGUGAUGCAUUGUCUUUUACAGAUAUGCCAGAAGAAAAUAGCCUGUGGCAGAUCAUACUUAGCUGGAAAGGUUUCCACUCAAGGUCUGAUCCACUGAUGGAAUCUCUUUCGAAGAAUUCCUUGGCUCUCUAAGAAUCCUGACUGAGAAAUUCCUCUAUAUGGAUUGAGGACUACAGUUCUAAGAGAACCAGGACCCAUGCCACUCCCUUCUGCAAGCUCUCUGAGAUCACAGCCAUAUGGAAAAUCUCUUCCUCAGUUUUCUCAUCUGUGAAAUGGAAGUAAUAUCACAUCUCUCAGAGUUGUUGUGAGGAUAAAAUAAGAUAAUAUUGGUGAAGGACCUUGCAAACCUCA
rnacentral:lncRNA from 1 species